AAUAAUUAUAAACUCUACUAUAAGAGCGAGCACAUCAGAUACAACAAUGGUUAAGGUGGAGACCACCGGACAGCCAAGUAUACUCCUGGUCUCAUCAUACAUGGCCCACGAUAGGGACAGUCCGCCAACCGAAAUCCAGGAGAUAAUAGCCAAAAACCCCAGACAAAUUAUAGUCGUCGGCUGCGAUGCGAAUGCAAGGCAUCCAGUUUGGGGUAGUUCUACGGAGAACGACCGAGGUGAGUCUUUACUACACUUCUUAUUAAAUACUAACUUAAGCAUCUGCAAUAGAGGUAAUACACCCACAUUCAUAUUCCCGAGUUCAAACCGGUUUCCUGGAUGGGAGGAGGUGCUGGAUCUAACCCUGUUGUCAGAGAACGACAGCGUGUCUGUAGAAGAGUGGAGAGUAUCUGAUAGGCCUUCAAUGUCUGAUCACCGUCUGAUCCUCUUUAAUCUGCACGGAAUUUCCAGCACCCCCUCAAAAUACAGAAACCCCCACAGGACUAAUUGGGAAAGAUAUAGUAACACAAUUAAGCAUAAACUAAGUAAGCUCCCACUAAAUACAACUGUCACUACAGUUGAGGACCUUGAUAAUAGAGUAAAUAAACUAGAAGAGGUUAUGAAGAAAGCCUUUGAAAGAUCAACUCCAGUUAGUACAGCAAGAAAGAAAUCCCCACCCUGGUGGAAUGGGGAUCUCAGAGCCCAAA